CAGACUCCUACGGGAGGCAGCAGUGAGGAAUAUUGGUCAAUGGACGAGAGUCUGAACCAGCCAAGUAGCGUGCAGGAUGACGGCCCUAUGGGUUGUAAAACUGCUUUUAUAAGGGAAUAAAGUGAGUCUCGUGAGACUUUUUGCAUGUACCUUAUGAAUAAGGACCGGCUAAUUCCGUGC
rnacentral:rRNA from 1 species